GACGAACGCUGGCGGCGUGCCUAAUACAUGCAAGUCGAACGCAUUUUCUUUCACCGUAGCUUGCUACACCGAAAGAAAAUGAGUGGCGAACGGGUGAGUAACACGUGGGUAACCUGCCCAUCAGCGGGGGAUAACACUUGGAAACAGGUGCUAAUACCGCAUAAUUCCAUUUACCGCAUGGUAGAUGGGUGAAAGGCGCUUUUGCGUCACUGAUGGAUGGACCCGCGGUGCAUUAGCUAGUUGGUGGGGUAACGGCCUACCAAGGCUGCGAUGCAUAGCCGGCCUGAGAGGGUGGUCGGCCACACUGGGACUGAGACACGGCCCAGACUCCUACGGGAGGCAGCAGUAGGGAAUCUUCGGCAAUGGACGCAAGUCUGACCGAGCAACGCCGCGUGAGUGAAGAAGGUUUUCGGAUCGUAAAACUCUGUUGUUAGAGAAGAACAAGGAUGAGAGUGGAAAGUUCAUCCCUUGACGGUAUCUAACCAGAAAGCCACGGCUAACUACGUG
rnacentral:rRNA from 1 species